rnacentral:rRNA from 1 species
UACGUAGGGUGCAGGCGUUAAUCGGAAUUACUGGGCGUAAAGCGUGCGCAGGCGGUCUUUUAAGUCAGAUGUGAAAUCCCCGGGCUUAACCUGGGAACUGCGUUUGAAACUGAAAAGGCUAGAGUGUGGCAGAGGGGGGUGGAAUUCCACGUGUAGCAGUGAAAUGCGUAGAGAUGUGGAGGAACACCGAUGGCGAAGGCAGCCCCCUGGGCUAACACUGACGCCUCAUGCACGAAAGCGUGGGGAGCAAACAGG